UUUAAGAAAGCAUGUUAUUUUUUUUACAGUGAGUCAUCUGGGAAGUUCAGCUAGAAUGUCAAGAAGGGAUUUAAUCUUUUUUGUACUAUACAGUGAAGUAGUUACUCAGUAAUAUGGAAUCUGGCUGAAAAUCUAUUCCGGUUGUUUUCAGCCAAAAAGGACAAUUUGGAAAAUGAAGUCUGAGCCACCAGAAACUGUUUCCUUGGGCUGCGCUGCUCUACGUGAUAGAAAGCCUGGGUACUGGAAGAAAGAAUACCUCUUCAAACAAAUAGCUGCUGUCAAAAUGAGAGUAAGGCGACUUGUUAAACCUGUAGAUCCUUCUACAGGUCUUCCAUGUAAAAACAAAGAAGCUAUGAAAGCCUCUGGCUUGAGGUGGAGAAUUGUUCUAAAGGACAAAAAUGGAAAGGAACACGUAAUGGAGAAGGCAAACCUGUCGAUUAAGGACACAUCUGUUACUAUACUUUGGUAUAGUACAAAUUGGCCAUGCUUAGACAUCCUGUCAAGCCUGAGACUGUUUGGAGUUAUGCCAUUGCUUCCUGAGCAAAGCAGAGCUCCCAGCAAGAAUGGGUGAGUGUUAAUAGAGGAUUUUUGAGGGGGUUUUGGUGUAACUGGGUGAUAAUGUGUCUGUAGGAGCUAUCUGGCCUUGGUUUGACUUAACAAGUUAACUCUUUCUUAGAAAGCCUCUCUGUAAUAUUUCUUCCAAAGCCUGUGUCCUUCUCUUCAUUGCUCGGGCUUUUUAGCAAGAGAUAGGUAUAAUCCAGCAAGCUCUGACAUGAAUUCAUAGGUUAACGUAGCUACUGGCAUGCAAGAUACAGACUGAUAGGUCCUGCCUUGGCAAGCUGAAUCUAAGGCAUAGCUCGAAAUGAGCAUGAAACAAACAUGUAAAUCUAGGAGAAUUUAAUGUGAGACAUUGAGAGUGGAACUGUUGAUGGCUACAAUGGGGUGAUCUCUGUUACUAAGGUUUAUUUUUUUCUGU